rnacentral:rRNA from 3 species
UGGGGAAUAUUGCGCAAUGGGCGAAAGCCUGACGCAGCGACGCCGCGUGAGGGACGAAGGCCUUCGGGUUGUAAACCUCUUUCAGCAGGGACGAAGCGAAAGUGACUGUACCUGCAAAAGAAGCACCGGCUAACUACGUGCCAGCAGCCGCGGUAAUACGUAGGGUGCAAGCGUUGUCCGGAAUUAUUGGGCGUAAAGAGCUCGUAGGCGGCUUGUCACGUCGGGUGUGAAAACUCGGGGCUCAACCCCGAGCCUGCAUCCGAUACGGGCUAGCUAGAGUUCGGCAGGGGAGACUGGAAUUCCUGGUGUAGCGGUGAAAUGCGCAGAUAUCAGGAGGAACACCGGUGGCGAAGGCGGGUCUCUGGGCCGAUACUGACGCUGAGGAGCGAAAGCGUGGGGAGCAAACAGG